rnacentral:misc_RNA from 1 species
GAUGAAGAACGUAGCGAAAUGCGAUAAGUAAUGUGAAUUGCAGAAUUCAGUGAAUCAUCGAAUCUUUGAACGCAUAUUGCGCUCUCUGGUAUUCCGGAGAGCAUGCUUGUUUGAGCAUCAGUAAACACCUCAACUUCCAUAUCUUUUUUGAAAUGGGAGUUGGACUUGAGUGAUCCCAACGCUUUUCCUCACCGAAAAGUGGCGGGUUACUUGAAAUGCAGGUGCAGCUGGACUUUUCUCUGAGCUAUAAGCAUAUCUAUUUAGUCUGCCUAAAAAACAGAUUAUUACCUUUGCUGCAGCUAACAUAAAGGAGAUUAGUUCUUGUGCUGACUGAUGCAGGAUUCACAAAGACAGGCUUCGGCCGACUUUGUAAACUCGAUCUCAAAUCAAGUAAGACUACCCGCUGAACUUAAGCAUAUCAAUAAGCGGAGGA